rnacentral:rRNA from 1 species
AUUGAACGCUGGCGGCAGGCCUAACACAUGCAAGUCGAACGAGUGGCGGACGGGUGAGUAAUGUCUGGGAAACUGCCCGAUGGAGGGGGAUAACUACUGGAAACGGUAGCUAAUACCGCAUACCAUCGGAUUUGCCCAGAUGGGAUUAGCUAGUAGGUGAGGUAAUGGCUCACCUAGGCGACGAUCCCUAGCUGGUCUGAGAGGAUGAUCGGCAACACUGGGACUGAGACACGGUCCAGACUCCUACGGGAGGCAGCAGUGGGGAAUAUUGCACAAUGGGCGCAAGCCUGAUGCAGCCAUGCCGCGUGUAUGAAGAAGGCCCUAGGGUGGUAAAGUACUUUCAGUCGGGAGGCGUUACCGACAGAAGAAGCACCGGCUAACUCCGUGCCAGCCGCCGCGGUAAUUC